rnacentral:rRNA from 1 species
ACGCUCGACACCUACGGGGGGCAGCAGUGGGGAAUAUUGGGCAAUGGGCGCAAGCCUGACCCAGCAACGCCGCGUGAAGGAAGAAGGCUUUCGGGUUGUAAACUUCUUUUGUCAGGGACGAAGACGUGACGGUACCUGACGAAUAAGCUCCGGCUAACUACGUGCCAGCAGCCACGGUAAUCUGAGCGGGCUGGCAAGGC